GCCCAGCAUUGUGGCGGGUGCCUGUAGUCCCAGCUACUCUGGAGGCUGAGGGAAGAGAAUAGCUUGAGCCCAGGAGUCUGAGUUUGAGGUUGCUGUGAACUAUGAUGCCACAGCACACUACCAAGGAUGACAAAAUGAGACUGUGUCAAAAAAAAAUUCCUUUCAGUUUUUUUUUGUUUUUAAGAUGGAGUCUCAUUUUGUCACCUUUGGUAGAGUGAUAUGGCAUCAUAGCUCACAGCAACCUCAAACUCAGACUCUUGGGCUUAAGUGAUUUUCUUGCCUCAG
rnacentral:SRP_RNA from 1 species